GAUAAGAACGUAGCGAAAUGCGAUAAGUAAUGUGAAUUGCAGAAUUCAGUGAAUCAUCGAAUCUUUGAACGCACAUUGCGCCCGCCAGUAUUCUGGCGGGCAUGCCUGUUCGAGCGUCAUUACAACCCUCAGGCCCCCGGGCCUGGCGUUGGGGAUCGGCGGAAGCCCCCUGUGGGCACACGCCGUCCCUCAAAUACAGUGGCGGUCCCGCCGCAGCUUCCAUUGCGUAGUAGCUAACACCUCGCAACUGGAGAGCGGCGCGGCCAUGCCGUAAAACACCCAACUUCUGAAUGUUGACCUCGAAUCAGGUAGGAAUACCCGCUGAACUUAAGCAUAUCAAUAAGCGGAGGA
rnacentral:misc_RNA from 1 species